rnacentral:misc_RNA from 1 species
GAAAUGCGAUAAGUAAUGUGAAUUGCAGAAUUCCGUGAAUCAUCGAAUCUUUGAACGCACAUUGCGCCCUCUGGCAUUCCGGGGGGCAUGCCUGUCCGAGCGUCAUUACGCACCCUCAAGCCCGGCUUGUGUGAUGGGUGCCUGUCCCGCCUCCGCGCGCGGACUCACCUCAAAUCCAUUGGCGGCCCCCGCGUCGGCCACGAGCGCAGCAGAAACGCGAACUCGUGAGCCCGUCCGGGCGGCUCCCAGAAGCUACACCCACCCAGUUUGACCUCGGAUCAGGUAGGGAUACCCGCUGAACUUAAGC